GUCCUGAGCCGGCUUCAGCCUCUCCGCGCAGAAGUCUCCCGGAGCCGACUUCUGAGAGUCGAGUACUCCUAUGUGAAGACUACCAAGCUCGUGUUCAAGGGAACCAAGGCGAAGAGUAAGAAGAAAAAGAACAAAGAUAAGAAAAGAAAAAGAGAAGAAGAUGAAGAAACCCAGCUUGAUAUGUUGAAAUAUCAAUUUUAUUUUUUAGGAAUCUGGUGGACAGUAACAAACUUUGGUGAAAUUUCAGGAACCAUAGCCAUUGAAAUGGAUGAGGGAACCUAUAUACAUGCACUCGAUAAUGGUCUUUUUACCCUGGGAGCUCCACACAAAGAAGUUGAUGAGGGCCCUAGUCCUCCAGAGCAGUUUUCGGCUGUCAAAUUAUCUGAUUCCAGAAUCACCCUGAAAUCUGGCUAUGGAAAAUAUCUUGGUAUAAAUUCAGAUGAACUUGUUGUUGGGCGUUCAGAUGCAAUUGGACCAAGAGAACAAUGGGAACCAGUCUUUAAAAUUGGGAAAAUGGCUUUGUCGACCUCAAAUAGCUGCUUUAUUAGAUACAGUGAAGCAGAGGACAUAGAAGCAAAAAGUAAAACAGCAGGAGAAGAAGAAAUGAUCAAGGCUCUCCUAAUCUCUGUCAGACCUUCACCUUUAUGACCUUGCCUUAUCUACCAGAACACAGAUCCCUCUUACUAAAGAUUAGAUCCUGUGCUGAAAGAGAAACCAAGAAAAAAGAUGACAUUCCAGAAGAAGACAAAGGAAAUAUAAAACAAUGUGAAAUCAA
rnacentral:lncRNA from 1 species